rnacentral:rRNA from 1 species
GAUGAACGCUGGCGGCGUGCCUAAUACAUGCGAGUCGAGCGAACAGACGAGGAGCUUGCUCCUCUGACGUUAGCGGCGGACGGGUGAGUAACACGUGGAUAACCUACCUAUAAGACUGGGAUAACUUCGGGAAACCGGAGCUAAUACCGGAUAAUAUAUUGAACCGCAUGGUUCAAUAGUGAAAGACGGUUUUGCUGUCACUUAUAGAUGGAUCCGCGCCGCAUUAGCUAGUUGAUAAGGUAACGGCUUACCAAGGCAACGAUGCGUAGCCGACCUGAGAGGGUGAUCGGCCACACUGGAACUGAGACACGGUCCAGACUCCUACGGGAGGCAGCAGUAGGGAAUCUUCCGCAAUGGGCGAAAGCCUGACGGAGCAACGCCGCGUGAGUGAUGAAGGUCUUCGGAUCGUAAAACUCUGUUAUUAGGGAAGAACAAAUGUGUAAGUAACUAUGCACGUCUUGACGGUACCUAAUCAGAAAGCCACGGCUAACUACGUG